rnacentral:rRNA from 1 species
UAGGGAAUCUUCGGCAAUGGGGGCAACCCUGACCGAGCAACGCCGCGUGAGUGAAGAAGGUUUUCGGAUCGUAAAGCUCUGUUGUAAGAGAAGAACGUGUGUGAGAGUGGAAAGUUCACACAGUGACGGUAACUUACCAGAAAGGGACGGCUAACUACGUGCCAGCAGCCGUGGUAAUACGUAGGUCCCGAGCGUUGUCCGGAUUUAUUGGGCGUAAAGCGAGCGCAGGCGGUUUAAUAAGUCUGAAGUUAAAGGCAGUGGCUUAACCAUUGUUCGCUUUGGAAAAUGUUAAACUUGAGUGCAGAAGGGGAGAGUGGAAUUCCAUGUGUAACGGUGAAAUGCGUAGAUAUAUGGAGGAACACCGGUGGCGAAAGCGGCUCUCUGGUCUGUAUCUGAAGCUGAAGCACGAAAACGUGGGGAACAAACAGG